UGGAAGGUGGGGUUGUGCUCCAAGGAGAGGCUGGAAUGCCAAGAGGGAACUCAAAUUCCAAAAGCUUCCUCUAAGUGCAAGGAAAACUGGGAAACAGGCGUGGAAUUCCAGCAGGAAUUCAGACGGGAGGAAGGGUGAGCUGUGGGAGAAUUAGGGGAGUUCCUCCCUGCUCUUCCAGCAGGACAACCCCAAAAUCCAGGAAAACAGCAGGCAGACUUUGCUCCCAGGUGGAGCAGAAGAGCAGCUGUGAAUUUAAAAAGAGAAUUAUCAACGUCUCGCAGCUCCUGCCCCUCCUCUGGAGGAGUUUGCCACGUUAAACUGAAUAACAAGGGGAUUUUUUGCCACACAAAUAUAAUUUUAUAGGAUCACAGGAUGGUUUGGGGUGCGAGGGAUGUCAAAGACACCCAGUGCCACCCCUGCCAUUUCCAAGCCCUGUCCAACCUGGAAUUUUUCCAGGGGCAGCCACAGCUUCUCUAGGAAAGCUGUGCUGAAAAUGAUGGAAUUAGAGAAUAGAAUUAAGUUGGAAAAGCCUUUUUGAAUCACUGAUAUCCCCAUUUGUCUCCACAACAAAAUCACAGGCACCGCUCACCACCUUCCUGCAUUAUUUACUGCUCGGAUUUGGGAUGAAAAUGAAACCCUGAGGGAAAGAAUCCUGGAAAAUUCUGAGCUGGGAAAGAGCCACGAGGAUCCUGAGCUUCAACAAGAAGCUGAGCACAAGGCGGUUCCAGCCUCCUCUGGAGAACCACGAGGUCUCUCCCGGUGGGAUUUGGCUUUUUUUUCCCCUCGGGAUUUCAUUCCAGGCGCGGCGCUAGGACCCGGCGCUGGAGCCUGCGCCCUGCUCGGCGGCACCGCGGCACCGCAGCCCCCGCAGCCGCCUCCCUCCUCUCCUCCUUCCCGGGAUCAUCCCGCCGCAUUCCCGGUUCUUUCCGCCUCGGGAUCGCCGCUCCGGAGCCGCAGCAAGGUCCCGGACACGCCGAGGAUGCAGCGGGAGGAAUGGAGAGAGAAAGGAAAGAAAUUCCAAGGUCACAACCAGGCAGCAGAGGAGGAGGAAAUUGCAGGAAUUCACAAUUUAAAGGUGGAAUUUGGAGAAAUCAACAGGAAAACCCAAAAAUUCUGCAGUGGAACAACCCUGGAAGGUCCCUCCCGAUGGAAAUUUGGGAAUUCUGGAAUUCCCUGAGCAGUUUGGAGGGAGGGAUGGCAGCAACACACCUCACACAGGUAAAUUCUGCCUGCAUUUCAUAGCUUAAUUAAUUAUUCGUUAAUUAUUCAUUAAUUACUCAUUAAUUAUUAAUUAUUCGUGUGGUGCUAAUGAGGGCGGGUCAAUUCCCAGCGGGAAAAUCCCGAUAUUUCCUGGAGUCAGGAGUAGGAAUAUCCAUUCCUGCCAGCCUUAAUGAGCUCUCCCUAAUUAGCCAGGGCAUUAAUUACCCCCCCCACCCCACCAGGGCUGAGCUAUUCCCACCCAGUCUCCAUUCAAACUUCCCAAAAUCCCAAAAUCCCGACGGGGAAGCGCCGCCCUCAUCCCAUCACUGACCCCACACACAAACCCCAAACAGCCCUAAAAAACCAUAAAUAACCCCAAAACCCUGAAAUGCCACUAAAAACCCCAAAAUCCUCCCCAAACAUCCCAAAAUACCUCCAAAAAAUCCCUAAAUCCCCACUAAAAACCCCUACAGACCCUCCCACAACCCCAAAAUGUCCUCAAA
ensembl:lncRNA